CUGCCGUGGGCGCUGGAGAAUUGAGGGGGGCUGCUCCUAGUACGAGAGGACCGGAGUGGACGCAUCACUGGUGUUCGGGUUGUCAUGCCAAUGGCACUGCCCGGUAGCUAAAUGCGGAAGAGAUAAGUGCUGAAAGCAUCUAAGCACGAAACUUGCCCCGAGAUGAGUUCUCCCUGACUCCUUGAGAGUCCUGAAGGAACGUUGAAGACGACGACGUUGAUAGGCCGGGUGUGUAAGCGCAGCGAUGCGUUGAGCUAACCGGUACUAAUGAACCGUGAGGCUUAACCUUACAACGCCGAAG
rnacentral:rRNA from 1 species